GCAACUCGACUGCAUGAAGCUGGAAUCGCUAGUAAUCGCGAAUCAGAGUGUCGCGGUGAAUACGUUCCCGGGCCUUGUACACACCGCCCGUCACACCAUGGGAGUUGGAAGCACCCGAAGUCGGUGACCUGACCGAAAGGGAGGAGCCGCCGAAGGUGAAGCCAGCGACUGGGGUGAAGUCGUAACAAGGUACC
rnacentral:rRNA from 1 species